AACGAAUGCUGCCAGACAAAUGACCAAUCACACUCACUCAACGGUAAUGCUGAUGUGGAUUUAUCUGAGUUGGGAACAGUCGAUUUAGGUCGUUUUAGACCUUACAGUCGGAGAUGAAAGCAUCGAUUGGGCGUCGAAAGUAUCUUUCGUAGAGCUCCGGCGAGACUCCUAAGACUAUUGAGGAUGAAAGAGAGAAUAUGGAGGAGUACGGCGAUGACAGUGAUAGCGAUACGCAAGAGACGGGACAUCAUGGGCAUUUAAGGGGAUGAUGACCAGAGGAUUUUGUUUGCAACUUUUUUUCUCGCAGCUUGGAGCCAAAGCCAGUAAGUUUCCCAAUCAGACUUCACGUCCGUCCUUAUAACAUUACACACCGAGGUAUCCAAUGCAGACAUCCCUGAAGAAACUGCAGCUGCAUACUUGGUAUUACCAUUAAUCUUUCCUUGAGAGCAACAAUAAUAUCCUUCUGUUUCCUUUUUGUACUUUUCAUGUUUGUGGAAGUGGAUCUUCCUUCUUCCUUGGAACAUUUUGUUUAAUCAAACUAUUUGACAGAGAGCAAUUGAGGAAGGUACAGACUUCAUAGAAACAAAUAUCUUAUCAUCCAAAGACGGUGGUGCUUAUAUGUUUCCAUGAUGUUAUCCUUGACCUAACAACCAAUGUUGCGACUCACAAGGAGUUUAAAACAUCACAUGAGAUCGUAAAACAACACACUGGCUUUUUCACUUGUAACGUUCUUUUUUGUUUCUUAUACUUGAGUUGAUGCAUACCAAUGGGUUCUUCUCAGCAUAACUUGAGGAGACACUUAACAAGUAUAGGUACGGAGGCACAUAAUUGUCCAAGAAGUGGUUGAAAAUACCAAUGCUUAUUCUAUGAUACUCUUCUUGUUUGUGUAUUCCUCAAAGUUGUUAUCUUUCUACUAAAAGUUACUGUCUGAUCCUUUAACUUCAGCCAAGACUGUAUAAGGAAUACAAGAGUACUUGAGAUUAUUGGAGUUGAUGGACUCUUCACCAAUUUCACUGGUAGCCUCCAUAACUAUCAAGAAUGGACACCCCCAUUACCUGAAAGCUUGGUCACCGGUCUGCCUGUAAGAUUUCACUCUACGCCAGUCCACUCCCAGUAAUCACUAUUUGUGUUAUUAGAUCAAGUAGGGAGGAUACUCGGAGAGAUUAUGUACUUCUUGAUCGCCAAGAUAUAUAUUUAUUUUCUUCUUCAACACAGUUUUAGUGUCCAUGUAUCUGUCAGUAUCAUCACCCAUAUCAAGUACUGGCCCAAGAACACCAAAGAGUUCAGAGUAAAGUUAUUAUACACGUCUUUGUCUUU